CUGUAUUUGCAGUUGGCCUCAAGAACCAGUGAAAAGGUCGCUGCCAUAGACUCUGGCCCUGGGUCCACAUCAAGCAAACCUCCCUGAGUGAUUCCUGAGCAGCAUCACCAAUGACUGACAGUCACUCUGCGUCCUUCCAGCUCUCCCCGAGGGCCUGGUGGAGGAGCUGCCCAGGGACAGGGCAGAGGAAGAGAGUCCAUUUAAUGCCAAGGUGGCCUCAGGGGUAACUGAAAAUGCGACCACAGAGCAGAACGGGCACAAUGAACGCUUCCAAUGGGGCUUCCUCUGUGUUGAAUUGAUGCACCAGAGGCAGCAGACAUAUCUGCAUUUUAGAAAAUUUAUAAUUAGAUAUGUGGGUUACAUUCUACUGGACAUCCUGGUCUAGACUCAGAGAUCCUUCAACUCCCGCCAGCUGGUCCGACUCGGCUGUGGCUCAGAUCCCCAGCAGCAGGUGAGAGGUUGAAUCAGUCAAUGGGGGAAACUCGAUUCACCAUGUGGUAGAGGACUCCAUCCAGGAUCUGAUUAAGGAAAAAGAGAAUCAUCUCUCCAGCCUGGGUGUUGAAACCUAGUCCUGCCUACAGCUCCUGGAGCAGAGGGCCCAAGGGUCCCUAAGUGUACACACUAGGUCUGGGAUUGAGCUGGCCUCGGCAACACUUACUGUAUUAAUAAAUUACUCCAGGGACUUCCCUGGCUGUCCAGUGGUUAGGACUCCGCACUUGCACUGCCAAGGGCACAGGUUCAAUCCCUGUCUGGGGAACUAAGAUCCACGAGCCAUGCAGUACGGCCGAAAAAAAAAAAAUUACUCCAUUCCCCAAAAUUUGGCUGUCAUAUUUGCCUUUUGUAGAAAACUGAGAGGUAAAAAAGAAAUUACGUAAGAUUAGACUCACCUCUCCUCUACUAGAUUCUCCUUCUUAAAGUGACUCAGUUCUGGAGUGAGAGUCACCUACAAGGGGCUUUUUUAUAUUGAAGCAUCCUCUUCCCACCCUAUUCACAACAGGCCUCACCUCUUUAAUCUGAUCAUAUUUUGAUUUAUGAUUUACUAACGACUAAGAGGUCACCACGAAUGUUUUUAUUCAACAUUGAACCAAAAUUUCAAAAUGAAUUGCAUUUUCAGAAAUUUUGUAUUUGAGUAUUUAUAAAUCUCAAGAACAUUGCCUAUGGCCAACAAUUAUAAUUUUUUCUUGGCUUUUAGAUAAAAUCAG
rnacentral:tRNA from 1 species